AGGGUAUGGAUUUGGCAGGCUGUCGUCAGCUGCGAUUGGAACCCUGAAGAAGGAAAAUUGCGAGCUGAGGUCAGCCAACUAUCAACUUAAGGCAUGAUGUGAAAGUCAGAAUACUACUUGGCAGCUAUUAAGGAGACUCUCAUAUCCUAGAGCCAGAGGGCAGAAUGUGCUGAGAAUGCUACGAAGAUCUGGUUGUAAAAGUGGUAGAGUUACAAAGGAGACCGAAUAUACAGCCCCAGCAAAUCUCCUAUGCUAAAGAUAAGAAGGAAGAAUAACAGAGUAAUCACUAGAAGAGUUGAAGGUUGAGCUGGAAAUAUGGAGGAAGCCGUAAAGAUGGAAUGGAACUGAUGUUACACAUAUUAUCUUAUUGGACCUCACAACAAUUCCAUGAGCUUGAACUCCAAGUCUACCUUGUGAAGAAACCUAGGCUAGUCCAUUGGAAGAUGAGACACCAUGUGAAGUCUGUUGCAGAGACCAGUCAUCCCAGCUGAGGCCCAUUACAUGAACUAGCCUGACAGCCGCCAGACACAUGUGUGAGGACAUCCUAGACCAUCUGGUUUCAGUUUCAACAGAGUCUCUAGCUGAUUGCAGAGAUCAGGCAAGUCAGCCUGGAGCAGAACUGCCCAGCAGAUCCACAGAAUGUUUUGCCAUCCUACCAUGAUAAAGACUCAAGGUGCCCAGAUACCCUAUUUUCCAGCCUUUCAGGUGGUGGAGAGAAAAGCUUGGGAAAACAUUGCUGAGUCUUUUGCAAAAGACAGUGCUCACUGAAGAGAGCAGCAUGUGAGGAACAAUUCCCCUUCCUUCCUUUCCACCCUGCUUUGGAUGCUGACUUGUGAGGACAUGAGGCUUGAAGCUGCGAUAGCCAUCUUGCAAUCAUGAUGGAAAAAUAUGGAGGGCACACUAAGGAAUGGUUUCUGGGAACAAUUGAAAGAGCCCGGGGACCUUGAUGACAUCAUUGAGCUAUUGAACAAACUCUAAGUUCAACUGUCCCUGGUCUUCUUUCUGUGUAAGGAAGGCAAACCUAUUGUCUAAGCAAUGACUAAUCCAAUAUUCUAUUAAGUUUAUCAGGAGGUACCCCAACUGAUUUUGAUGUAAGGUAGCUGCAUUAGUUGGA
rnacentral:lncRNA from 1 species